rnacentral:tRNA from 1 species
UUCUAUUUAGUUUAACAAAAUAUUUACUUGUCAAGUAAAUGAUGAAAUUUUUUAUUUCAAUAGAAAU